rnacentral:rRNA from 1 species
UACGAAGGGGGCUAGCGUUGUUCGGAAUUACUGGGCGUAAAGGGCGCGUAGGCGGUGUGUCAAGUCAGGCGUGAAAGCCCCGGGCUCAACCUGGGAACCGCGCUUGAGACUGGCACGCUAGAGUUCGGGAGAGGAUGGUGGAAUUCCCAGUGUAGAGGUGAAAUUCGUAGAUAUUGGGAAGAACACCGAUGGCGAAGGCAGCUAUCUGGACCGACACUGACGCUGAGGCGCGAAAGCGUGGGGAGCAAACAGG